GCCUGGGUGGCUCAGUCGGUUGAGCGUCCGACUUCGGCUCAGGUCACGAUCUCACGGUCCGUGAGUUCGAGCCCCGCAUCGGGCU
rfam:Felis catus isolate Cinnamon breed Abyssinian chromosome A1, whole genome shotgun sequence.